rnacentral:rRNA from 1 species
UCGCUCAACGGAUAAAAGGUACUCCGGGGAUAACAGGCUGAUACCGCCCAAGAGUUCAUAUCGACGGCGGUGUUUGGCACCUCGAUGUCGGCUCAUCACAUCCUGGGGCUGAAGUAGGUCCCAAGGGUAUGGCUGUUCGCCAUUUAAAGUGGUACGCGAGCUGGGUUUAGAACGUCGUGAGACAGUUCGGUCCCUAUCUGCCGUGGGCGCUGGAGAACUGAGGGGGGCUGCUCCUAGUACGAGAGGACCGGAGUGGACGCAUCACUGGUGUUCGGGUUGUCAUGCCAAUGGCACUGCCCGGUAGCUAAAUGCGGAAGAGAUAAGUGCUGAAAGCAUCUAAGCACGAAACUUGCCCCGAGAUGAGUUCUCCCUGACUCCUUGAGAGUCCUGAAGGAACGUUGAAGACGACGACGU